GCACACUAGAUAAAGCCCAAUUAUUAUUAGCCCAAAGCCUACUCCACAAAGACUAUAGUCCAAUCUUAAUACAUUCCCAACGGCUGCCUCUUACCCCAUCUUCUCCUCCUCCUUUUUAGCAAAAUUUGUCCAUCGUCUCUUGAAAUCCAGAGCUUGUCACUCCAUUUUAAUACAAAUCCCAUCUCUCUCACAUGUGGUCUCCAUUUUCGAGCAAGUAGGACAAGCCAACAGAAAAUAGUCAAGCCAAAUCUUAACUCUUUUGUAAAAUAGCAAGGACGAAUCUCUGCCCACUCUGAAGCAAGCAAAGGAUUUGGUCAAAUUUUCUUCAAAAGAUCCAAAACUCUUCUCCAAACAAUAGCGAGGUUGCACUCUAUGGGUGAACUUUGACCGUGACUGAGAUACUCGAACUCGUUCAGCUCGAAGUUCGGAUCUGUUCAUGACGAGAGAGUAGAUUCGAGAUCAACGUUCCAAGUUCACUCCCCAAAAAUAGGUAAUAUCCGAUCCUAUUUCUAAUUCUCCUAUUUAGUCUAAAAUAUUCUCUUUACUUAGAAGAAUCAUUUCCUAGGCUUCUUUUUCUUUAUUUGUGCUAUAGUAUGUGAGUAAAAUAUUGACGCCAUGUGCAUUCUGUUUAACAUUUGAUUUAAUUGUAAAGCCACAGCAUGCUUUAGCUUUAAAACCUUAUUCUUGCCUUUAAUAAUCAGUAUUGCCGGUAUGUUUUCUUGACGUAUCAAGCUAAUGGCUUGGAUUUCAACUAUUAGAAACAUAAUCCUCCCAGGCUUAAUAAUUAUUUUAUUUACGUAUGUACUGAAAAAAAUAGAAAGUAUCCUCUGUUAAAUAUUAAUGUUCCUAUAUUCUUUUUUUUUUGUCACCUCAAAGGAAAAUUUUACUUUAAGUUUAUCCCAAUGUUCAGAUACCAUUUUUAGAGAAUCUUUAUCGUCAAAUGAGCUUUCUGAUGAACCUGCAUCAUGUUAAUAUGUUAUAGAUUCAUUUUCAUUCUGUCAUGUAAGGAAACAUGUUUAAAAAUUUACUACUAUCAUACUAGUCAAAACAUGAUUAUUGUAAAAUUAUAUCGAACUUUGGCUAGACUUGAACAUUGAGCUAGAGCUUUCUAGAUAUAUUGGUAGUAUUAUACUUUCAGAGGCAUAACAAAGACAUUCAAGGUUUACUUAAAUCAACUUGUAAGAGUUUUGUUUACAGAUCCAUGUGUUUCAUGUAUUAGGAACUAUACUUAGAAUUUUUACUUUGAGUCACUUAAAUACAGGCGCAAAAGAUCCACGGACCGAACAUUGUAUUUUCUUUAGUUAGAAAUCAUGUUUAUAGGAUAUUAUUGUUAUUAUAAACCAUGUUUACAUUAGGUGCCUAUCUCUUUGUCUGAUACAUAUUAUAUGGAUAACUAUUCUUGAAAUUUGAGGUGUCCUUCUUUUGGCUGCUCUCACUAAUCGUGUGCAUAGUUGAUUACUUCAAUCUGUUAAAGUACUUUAUUGCUCAUGUUUAGCUAAAUUUUAGAAAUAAAUACUUUAAGAAUGAAUGUGAUGUUGGAAUAUGAACAAUCCAUACUUUGUUAGACUCUUUUAUACACUAAGCAUGAGCAUAAUACCAUGAAUCCUUAUCUUUUGUUCUUAUACUUGUUAAGAGUUACAUUCUCUUCUCUAACUCAUUUUCUUUCUUCUUUUUACAUUGCAUGACACGUUGGAGCUGCAAGGAGUUCCAAUGUGGGACUCGAUGCUGCCGCUAGAUCUCGAACGCGCACCUUCCUCUUCAUCCUCCCUCAUCUAUUUCUUUUGCUCUCUCAAAUUGCAUCCGAACAGAAAAGUAAAAGAGAAGCGAGAGGAAGCAGAGGAUAUUCCCUUCCUUGCCAUGAUAAUUAGUUGUGUUUUGUUUUCAUCAUGCUUUGUUUAUCCUAACUCACCAAUUUUUACUUUUAGUUCUACUUGUUUUAUUAUUUUUAUGUAUGACGAUUUUGAUUUAAGAGGUGCUUCAGGUAUUUAAGUU